UUGAACUGUGUUGGCCUCCAUCUACUGUACCAUGAAUCAUCUGUUACGGCAGUGCGCCACCCAGCUUUCUUUCAUUCUCAAUGACUCCUAGGCAUCUAAAGUAUGCUGGGUGCCCUCAGUGCACUGGAACAGAUAAGACAUAAACCAGCUUCUCAGGCAAACCCCCCAAAGCCCAAAUGUUGGAUGCACACUACUUCAACACUUUCCCUCCUUGGAGUCAAGUCAGAGUUGGAGUUUUCUUCCACUUGUUCCACGCUUAGAUGGGGAGAGGAGCUAUAGCAAGUAACUGAAGCUUAAUUGAUCAACUCAAGUGAUGCCUGGAGUUCUCAUCACAUUAAUCCUUUAGUAGUGGCUGUACCCUUAGAUUAAUAUUUGG
rnacentral:lncRNA from 10 species